rnacentral:rRNA from 1 species
GUAAGCAUAUCAAUAAGCGGAGGAAAAGAAACCAACAGGGAUUGCUCUAGUAACGGCGAGUGAAGCAGCAAUAGCUCAAAUUUGAAAUCUGGCGUCUUCGACGUCCGAGUUGUAAUUUGUAGAGGAUGCUUCUGAGUAACCACCGACCUAAGUUCCUUGGAACAGGACGUCAUAGAGGGUGAGAAUCCCGUAUGCGGUCGGAAAGGUGCUCUAUACGUAGCUCCUUCGACGAGUCGAGUUGUUUGGGAAUGCAGCUCUAAAUGGGAGGUAAAUUUCUUCUAAAGCUAAAUAUUGGCCAGAGACCGAUAGCGCACAAGUAGAGUGAUCGAAAGAUGAAAAGCACUUUGGAAAAGAGAGUUAAAAAGCACGUGAAAUUGUUAAAAGGGAAGGGAUUGCAACCAGACUUGCUCGCGGUGUUCCGCCGGUCUUCUGACCGGUCUACUCGCCGCGUUGCAGGCCAGCAUCGUCUGGUGCCGCUGGAUAAGACUUGAGGAAUGUAGCUCCCUCGGGAGUGUUAUAGCCUCUUGUGAUGCAGCGAGCGCCGGGCGAGGUCCGCGCUUCGGCUAGGAUGCUGGCGUAAUGGUCGUAAUCCGCCCGUCUUGAAACACGGACCAAGGAGUCUAACAUCUAUGCGAGUGUUCGGGUGUCAAACCCCUACGCGUAAUGAAAGUGAACGGAGGUGAGAACCGCAAGGUGCAUCAUCGACCGAUCCUGAUGUCUUCGGAUGGAUUUGAGUAAGAGCAUAGCUGUUGGGACCCGAAAGAUGGUGAACUAUGCCUGAAUAGGGUGAAGCCAGAGGAAACUCUGGUGGAGGCUCGCAGCGGUUCUGACGUGCAAAUCGAUCGUCAAAUUUGGGUAUAGGGGCGAAAGACUAAUCGAACCAUCUAGUAGCUGGUUCCUGCCGA